CCGAUGGAUAUGAUCUUACUUUGGCUGCUGAAAAUCAGAUCAAAUUUCAUCUUAAUCAGGUAAAUCUCUUCCAUCACAUGCCCUCAAUCUGUCAUAGGUUUUAAUCUUAAAUUUUUGCUGAAUUUUUCAAUCCAAAAUCCCUUGAAAAUCAUUAUUUUUCUGAAUCCCCAGUUUUGUGUUUUGUCUUUGAUUUCUGUCAUCAUAGACCAUCGCCGGUCACCGGACUAGGUCGAUUGUCACUGU
rnacentral:lncRNA from 1 species